rnacentral:rRNA from 1 species
GAUGAACGCUGGCGGCGUGCCUAAUACAUGCAAGUCAAGCGAACAGACGAGGAGCUUGCUCCUCUGACGUUAGCGGCGGACGGGUGAGUAACACGUGGAUAACCUACCUAUAAGACUGGGAUAACUUCGGGAAACCGGAGCUAAAACCGGAUAAUAUAUUGAACCGCAUGGUUCAAUAGUGAAAGACGGUUUUGCUGUCACUUAUAGAUGGAUCCGCGCCGCAUUAGCUAGUUGGUAAGGUAACGGCUUACCAAGGCAACGAUGCGUAGCCGACCUGAGAGGGUGAUCGGCCACACUGGAACUGAGACACGGUCCAGACUCCUACGGGAGGCAGCAGUAGGGAAUCUUCCGCAAUGGGCGAAAGCCUGACGGAGCAACGCCGCGUGAGUGAUGAAGGUCUUCGGAUCGUAAAACUCUGUUAUUAGGGAAGAACAAAUGUGUAAGUAACUAUGCACGUCUUGACGGUACCUAAUCAGAAAGCCACGGCUAACUACGUG